GAUCAUGGCUCAGGACGAACGCUGGCGGCGUGCUUAACACAUGCAAGUCGAACGAGGGAAUUCUUUUCGGAGAAUAUACCGAGUGGCAAACGGGUGAGUAACGCGUAGGCAACCUGCCUUCAAGAUGGGGACAACAGUCCGAAAAGGGCUGCUAAUACCGAAUGACAUGUCUGAACCGCAUGGGACGGACAGCAAAGACGGCCUCCAAACUAUGCUGUUGCUUGAAGAUGGGCCUGCGUCUGAUUAGCUAGUUGGUGAGAUAACAGCCCACCAAGGCGACGAUCAGUAGCCGGUCUGAGAGGAUGAACGGCCACAUUGGGACUGAGACACGGCCCAGACUCCUACGGGAGGCAGCAGUGGGGAAUAUUGCACAAUGGGGGGAACCCUGAUGCAGCAACGCCGCGUGAGGGAAGAAGGUUUUCGGAUUGUAAACCUCUGUCCUUGGUGAAGAUAAUGACGGUAGCCGAGGAGGAAGCUCCGGCUAACUACGUG
rnacentral:rRNA from 1 species